AGUUUAGUAUAAUAUAAAAGAAGUUGGUGCUUGUUAUUGAAAGCUAAGUGUGUUGUGGAUAGGUUUGCCUGCGUACUGUGCGGAGCAGGCUGGGACGGACGACACAACCAGACGUCAGACACAAGGCACUAGGUUAAAAGGGUGCCAUAAACUGGUGCUUUAUUUAACGUAUUUUCGCAGAACAAGACAGUGACAGGGGCCGUGGUGGGUGCCUGCGUGUGCUGGUGCAAGCUUGGUGCCUGCCGGGAGGUGCCUGCAGUGCCACAAGGGAUAAUAUUGGUAAGAAACCGGCCCACCACUUGUCCAGCCAGCUAAUUUGCACAGUGUGAUGUAACAGGCGGUAACUGUGAUAGUGUUGUUACGUGUCACCCACAACAACAACAACACAGGGCUGUCAGAUACAAAUGUAGAGGGACGAAAUAGGGAAGCAGGAAGACCACCACCACCAUCACCACCAGCAGUGUGGAAGAAAGUUUAGGCAAGCGAAGAAAGUUGGAAAAUUAAUAAUUAAACGCUUGCUGUCUUUUAUUAUCUUGAGUAUAAAAUGGUUAUAUGACAAUCUCUCUCUCUCUCUCUCUCUCUCUCUCUCUCUCUCUCUCUCUCUCUCUCUCUCUCUCUCUCUCUCUCUCUCUCUCUCUCUCUCUCUCUCUCUCUCUCUCUCAGCUUUGUAUUAGUUACCCGUUGACAGAAGUGACAGCCGCGUUUUCUCUUGUCAGAUGUAAACAAAUCGGUAGUUUCCUUCCAGCUGGUGAUAAAACUCUUUCUCGCUCUUCCUCACUCUCCCACGUCACGGAAGCAGUGUGUGUGUGUGUGUGUGUGUGUGAAGAAGAAAAUGUUAUAUUAUAUCUACGUGUUUAAAAGUUUCCUUCAUUUAAGUCCAAAGAGGCUGGCUGGCUGAUGCUAAGGAAGGAAGAAAGGGGUGGUGUUUAGGGGUCUGGGAUGGAAAGCGAGUGAUGUGUUUUGUAGCCUUCAGAUAAAAAAUAUUAACAAAGUUUACACAGUGGGAAAAUUUUGGUGGUGAGAGAGAAAAUGACUAAAAUAUUACCUCAAAUUUAACCAAACGUGGUGGAGCUUCACACUCCUCAGCUGACCCUAAUCAAACCAAGCCUAACCCAAAGAAGCCUACCCUAACUUCUGUCUGGUGCUUCCUCCUCCCCAAGACUGGCUAUCUCGUGUCUUAAUCCCAAGCUGGCCUAACCAAACUUUACCUAACCUAACCUAAGCAAUUCUAACCUAGCCAAACCUUACCUAAGCAAGCCUAACCUAGCCAAGCCUUACCUAACCUAACCUAACCUAACCUAGCCAAACCUUACCUAAGCAAGCCUAACCUAGCCAAGCCUUACCUAACCUAACCUAACCUAACCUAACCUAACCUAGCCAAACCUUACCUAAGCAAGCCUAACCUAGCCAAGCCUUACCUAACCUAACCUAACCUAACCUAACCUAACCUCACCUAACCUAACCUAAAGAAACCUAGCCAAACCUAACAUAACCUAGCCUAACCAAACCUAAUCUAACCUACAUCCUCUUCCCACGGCCCCACUUAACCAAACCUAAUGUAACUUUCAGAGCAACGGCAACCCUCCGAUCCGGCAAGCAAGUUGGCGGCAGCGAUGGCGGUGGCGGCGGCAGUGGUGGUGAGGUGGACGGCAGGGACAGAGGGGCAGUACAGGCUGCGGACAUCAAGGAGAAGAGGAACGCACGGACAAGCAAGGUGUUAUUCGGCAGUCUGAUCCUGGACCUGCUCGGCUUGAAGGUGGUGCUGCCCGUGUCUCCUGCUCUCCUCGACUGUUACUCCAAGCACAACACCAGCGGCUUGUAUUCCUCUCAGCUCUCCUGUGUGACUUAUUACCAGCAUAUCAUCGGUUUCGCUGCGAGGUUCCAUUCUGUCUUGUUUGGCACUGAUUGGCGUGACAUUCAGCAUAGGCUUCACCGUCGGGCACACUGUGGGGGCUGCGUUCUCCCGCUGGGGAAGUACUGGGUGGUUCGCGGCCUCGGCUGUCUACGCACGCACUCUCACUGUGGCUAACAUAAUAUUCUUUGCUGUCUUCUUCCAGGAAUCGCUGCCUGAGGGCAGAAGGAGGAGGGACAUCGGUGCCAGUUUGACCGAGGCUUGGGAGGUGAUCAAUCCUAGGGCUCUGUUCUCCAUCAGCUGUGUCAAGGGCCUGGGCAGAGAAGCCUGGAGUUAACGCUGAUCUUCGCGACCCACCACAAGCAUAGUUACGACUCGUUGGCGCAGGACCGCAAGUUUUCCUUCCUGGGCCUGGUCAUGGCAAUUACACAGAGAGGGUUUAUGCGAAGUGUUAAGACUGGAACUGAAAAAGCACCUGCCAAUUAGGCACACACCUACAUUGUGAUGCAGCUCCUUGGAGGUGGAGAGCUGGCUGCCUCAGAGGAUCAGGAAACACGAGAGGUUCACAGAGGCUCGCCUCGGGCUUCGGUCGUCGUGAGGAACCUGGUGUCAGCAGUUCACUACGUGCACAGGAAAAGCAUCAGUGUUCACGGAGACCUAAAGCCAGACAGGGGUGAAAAGGGUUGGUGUUGAGGAUAGACAGAAAAGAAAAGAAAGGAAAGGUAAAAAAAGGAAGUUUUUUUGCAUUGAUUUUCCAUCUGCUUAUUUUAAAGAAUUUAUUGCAUGGAAUAUUAUUGAUCUCCAUCAUUUGUAUGGCCUUUAUAAUAAAAAGUAUGAAUUUA